AAUUGCAACUUAUGGCCCAAAGGUUUGAAUAAUUAAAUUCAGACUUAUAGUUUUUUUUAAUAUAAUUUUGGGACUCACAAUCCCAUUUUUAUAUUAUUUUUCUCUCUUCCUCUCACGUUGCUCGGCGUUUUCUGCAAGGGGGGAUUAUUUUCUUUUUCUUCAGAUUAUAUUGACAAAGAUAGUGGUGAAAAAGGAGUUGUGAAGGGGAACUUGUUAUUCAAGACACAAGGAGCGAGUCCGGCCGAGAAAGCACCAGAGGUGUAACUAUGGUGUAUGAAACACCAUCUUUUACGUUGCCUCUUAUUUUGGAUUAUACAAUGUAUCUUGUGCCAACUUAGGACAUAUCUUCUUUGUGAAGCAUGUAAACUCUAAUCCUUUUUAUUAAAAGUAUUUAUUUGACCAA